AGCAAGGCGUCUGCGUGAUGUGCAGGAUGGAAGCGCACGUGAACAGCGUCUUGCGUUCCUCAGGCAGUGCCAUCGAGCCCUGGGGUGUCGUCAGCGUUCUGACAUGCAUAGGAGAACAUUUCCAGCUGGGCGUGCAGGAAGACGCCCACGAGUUCCUCCGCCUUGCUGUCGAUGCCAUGCAGAGCGCUUGCCUGAGCGGAAGCAGCGACUUGGACACCUCUUCCCAAUCGACUACCGUCGUCCAUCAAAUCUUUGGGGGCUGUCUGAGAUCCAGAGGUACUGCUCCCCACCUGUUGUUCCCCUUGGGACUGGCUGUGCCCUUCUGCCUGCUGCCUGUGAUAAACAGCU